UUUUUAAUAUAUUUUUGCUCCACGCGAGAAAGAUGCGUACGUGCGCGGAAUAUAUUAAGCACGGUUCCUUAUUUUUUUUUCAAAACUAAAAUGGCGAUAGGGGGGGCAGCAUAAUGGACGAAGGCGGGGGUAACAUGUCGGAUGCGAUCAUACCAGCACUAAAGCACCGGAUCCCAUCAGAACUCCGAAGUUAAGCGUGCUUGGGCGAGAGUAGUACUAGGAUGGGUGACCUCCUGGGAAGUCCUCGUGUUGCAUUCCC
rnacentral:rRNA from 1 species